rnacentral:lncRNA from 1 species
ACGCGCGGGCUGCCGCGCCUGCUGGCUGGAAGCGCCGCGGCGGCCUUCCCGCUCGCCGCCUGAGGAGACCCCGCUCAGCGAGCUGCCGGCUCGGGAGCAAACUUUAUCGGGGACACCUGAAAUAGAGAUAAAAUUGUGAAGAGGGGAAUUCACAGAUGUAAAGCGAUUUCUUCUGGGAAUGAAAGUACGUGACUGUACAAAACAGAGGAGAGUCUUGCAAUGAACCCAUCUAACAAAGAGCUUUACAGAUGCGUGAUCACAAAUCAUAUUGCAAACACAUCCACUAAUGAAGGGUGAAAGUCCUCUCUGCCCCCUUACGCCCUUUAAAAGGAGCAAUGAGAAAGUGCGAGUUCGAGGCACAGCUGCUGCCCGCAGGACGGUGCUACGGCACAAGACAGUGCUUGCGUAUCAGUGGGAAGCUACGUGCAAGAGGCUAAUGGUGAAGCAGCAGAGAGUACACAGACAAAUGCCAAGCCAGCCCUUCCUCCCCACCAAAGCUGAUUGUUCCUGCCCUGGCUUUAACCCAGGAGGCAGUCUGUCGAAAUUCAAGUCCAGCACGGCAAGCAGUAGAAAAAACAGAUCCAUAUUCGUUUUUUUUGCCUAGCAUUUGUCUCUCUGUCCCCCGGAAGUGGACACUCACCGGGUUAUCUGAUGUCCCACAGGAGUUAGACCAACUUGCCCGGUAGCCCCCGCUUGGGUACGUCUUACCCCUGCCUCGGCGGGGGGGGGCAGGGGAGGCGUUCCUGCCGGCAGCCCAACGGUGAGUGAAACCGCACCGCUCAGCCAUCGCUGCGUCCGCUCUGCGGUCUGCCAAGAAGGGAAGGGAGCUCUUCACGCGCCUGCCUUGCAGGAGGUCAUCGUUAGUUGGUCAAGAUAUCUCCAGCGCUGUUUUCCAUGAAUGUAUUUGAUACGGCAGCUUCAAGUUACGUCGUUUCGAACAGACAGGACGGACAGUUUAUGAACACAGGCUUCUUAAAAGCAAGCUGGGAGGAGGAAGGAGGAGAGGUUUUUUACCGUAUUUUAGGCCAAAAAGUUCCUUUGGCAGCAGAUUUUCUGUAACAAGUGAGAACAACAAGAAUUAGCUCUCUCAGCACUUCCAGCAAAGACUGUGUCUGUAAUCAAAAGAAUCAGGGCUUGUUUGACAUAAACUGCACAAUGGCACAGGAAAGAUGCAGGAGGGCAGAAAUAUAUUAUCGAAGGCGAGGGAAACAAAUUCCCGGCUCUACUGGGAACUCGAGGUUCUGGCUCCUUCUCGUGUGCAGCUACAGCUGGCAUCCUCCCACAAAGGCGUAAAGGCAGGUCUGGCCGGUUGCGGCAAAUCUUGGUGAGGAACAGGUCAUAGCUGCGACCUACCUGAUUUCUUAUAAUCCAAAUACUUCCCUUUUUCUCCCUUUGUACACAGUUCUUCCUUAUGCAGAAAUGCAAAUUCUCGCUGGACUUCUGAGACUUCAAAACUGAUUUGAAUUCUUAUGUUCCCCCACAAAGGGUGAAGUAGGAUAUCCCAAGGUAGACAGGCCUCCAAAUAAUAAACAGGUCUGAGAAACCUGGAAUAGUUUACUU